rnacentral:rRNA from 1 species
ACGCUGGCGGCGUGCCUAAUACAUGCAAGUAGAACGCUGAAGGAGGAGCUUGCUUCUCUGGAUGAGUUGCGAACGGGUGAGUAACGCGUAGGUAACCUGCCUGGUAGCGGGGGAUAACUAUUGGAAACGAUAGCUAAUACCGCAUAACAGUAGAUGUUGCAUGACAUUUGCUUAAAAGGUGCAAUUGCAUCACUACCAGAUGGACCUGCGUUGUAUUAGCUAGUUGGUGGGGUAACGGCUCACCAAGGCGACGAUACAUAGCCGACCUGAGAGGGUGAUCGGCCACACUGGGACUGAGACACGGCCCAGACUCCUACGGGAGGCAGCAGUAGGGAAUCUUCGGCAAUGGACGGAAGUCUGACCGAGCAACGCCGCGUGAGUGAAGAAGGUUUUCGGAUCGUAAAGCUCUGUUGUAAGAGAAGAACAGGUGUGAGAGUGGAAAGUUCACACUGUGGCGGUAUCUUACCAGAAAGGGACGGCUAACUACGUGCCAGCAGCCGCGGUAAUACGUAGGUCCCGAGCGUUGUCCGGAUUUAUUGGGCGUAAAGCGAGCGCAGGCGGUUAGAUAAGUCUGAAGUUAAAGGCUGUGGCUUAACCAUAGUACGCUUUGGAAACUGUUUAACUUGAGUGCAAGAGGGGAGAGUGGAAUUCCAUGUGUAGCGGUGAAAUGCGUAGAUAUAUGGAGGAACACCGGUGGCGAAAGCGGCUCUCUGGCUUGUAACUGACGCUGAGGCUCGAAAGCGUGGGGAGCAAACAGGAUUAGAUACCCCUGGUAGUCCACGCCGUAAACGAUGAGUGCUAGGUGUUAGACCCUUUCCGGGGUUUAGUGCCGCAGCUAACGCAUUAAGCACUCCGCCUGGGGAGUACGACCGCAAGGUUGAAACUCAAAGGAAUUGACG